rnacentral:rRNA from 1 species
GACGAACGCUGGCGGCGUGCCUAAUACAUGCAAGUCGAGCGGGGUUUUAAAAGCUUGCUUUUAAAACUUUAGCGGCGGACGGGUGAGUAACACGUGGGCAACCUGCCUGUAAGACUGGGAUAACACCGGGAAACCGGUGCUAAUACCGGAUAAUCCUUUUCAACUCAUGUUGAGAAGCUGAAAGACGGUUUCGGCUGUCACUUACAGAUGGGCCCGCGGCGCAUUAGCUAGUUGGUGAGGUAAUGGCUCACCAAGGCGACGAUGCGUAGCCGACCUGAGAGGGUGAUCGGCCACACUGGGACUGAGACACGGCCCAGACUCCUACGGGAGGCAGCAGUAGGGAAUCUUCCGCAAUGGACGAAAGUCUGACGGAGCAACGCCGCGUGAGCGAAGAAGGCCUUCGGGUCGUAAAGCUCUGUUGUCAGGGAAGAACAAGUACCGGAGUAACUGCCGGUACCUUGACGGUACCUGACCAGAAAGCCACGGCUAACUACGUGCCAGCCGCCGCAGUAAGAC